CAGUCGCCACGGGAAUACGUAGGGUGCAAGCGUUAAUCGGAAUUACUGGGCGUAAAGCGUGCGCAGGCGGUUAUAUAAGACAGAUGUGAAAUCCCCGGGCUCAACCUGGGAACUGCAUUUGUGACUGUAUAGCUAGAGUACGGCAGAGGGGGAUGGAAUUCCGCGUGUAGCAGUGAAAUGCGUAGAUAUGCGGAGGAACACCGAUGGCGAAGGCAAUCCCCUGGGCCUGUACUGACGCUCAUGCACGAAAGCGUGGGGAGCAAACAGGAUUAGAUACCCCUGUAGUCCCUGUCUUUAUACA
rnacentral:rRNA from 1 species